UUGAAUAUAAGAUCAAGGCAAAUAUUAUAGUUUUUUGAAUUUGGCCUUACAUAUUUGAGCUAUGAUGGUUGAUCUAAGUUUUGAUUACCAGACAAGGGAAGAAUCAAUAGUAGUUUAAAAGAUGUUUAUACAUUAUGCAAAUAGAGAUGAGACCACAGAAGUUGUUUGAGCAAACAAUAGAAUAAAUAUUUAAACAUUAUCUUCUCCUAUAAAUUAGUCGAACCUUUUCAUGCAUGUAUUUAAAUCACCAGCUCAUCUUAUGGGAAGGAAAUGAAAAGGUCAGCAAAAAACAAAAUUAAUUAGUUUUUCAGCAGAAAUCAAGACAUUUAAAUUUCCUUCAAG
rnacentral:lncRNA from 1 species